rnacentral:tRNA from 1 species
AGGGGUAUAGCUCAGUUGGUAGAGCAUCGGUCUCCAAAACCGAGGGUCGAGGGUUCGAGUCCUUCUGCCCCUG